CUUCUUCGCUGCGACGCGCGACGGGUGAGUAACACGUAUCCAACCUGCCCUUUACUCGGGGAUAGCCUUUCGAAAGAAAGAUUAAUACCCGAUAGCAUAAUGAUUCCGCAUGGUUUCAUUAUUAAAGGAUUCCGGUAAAGGAUGGGGAUGCGUUCCAUUAGGUUGUUGGUGAGGUAACGGCUCACCAAGCCUUCGAUGGAUAGGGGUUCUGAGAGGAAGGUCCCCCACAUUGGAACUGAGACACGGUCCAA
rnacentral:rRNA from 1 species